rnacentral:misc_RNA from 1 species
GCAAAAUCAGCUGAUGCAAAGUGGUGGGGCUGUCAAAUCGGAAAGUGACAAUCUUGUGUUUAUUAUUUCAACAGUUCUUGUGGUGAAGAGUAGCGAAUGCAUGUGAGAUUUCAGAACAUAAUUUUAAAUUUAACUUACUUGUGUGAAAGUUUAUGAACCUAAUACAAAAUGCUCAAGUUUGGUAGCAAAAAUGACGUUAAUGCAACAUAUAAGUGUACUGUUUGUUUAUUAGAGGAUACAGAAAUUGUGGAAUGCGAUUUUCAGAUACACCACAAAGGAAAGUACCUGGUUGAACAUGUUUGUCGACAACUGAAUCUAAUAGAAAAAGACUACUUCGGCCUUCGAUAUGUUGAUGCCAGUAAGCAAAGGCAUUGGCUGGAUCCAGCUAAGGCAAUAGUAAAGCAAGUGAAAGAUAUGGAUCCAAUUCUGUUCAGCUUCAGAUUAAAGUUCUAUCCGCCGGAUCCUUUCCGGUUAAAGGAGGAGAUCACUCGCUACCAAGUGUACCUGCAACUGAAACGAGACUUACUGCACGGUCGUCUCUACUGCACGCCUAGUGAAGCUGCCCUUCUAGGCGCUUACGUCAUCCAAGCUGAGCUGGGUGACUAUGAUCCUGAGGAACAUGUUGAGAACUAUGUCAGUGAGAUGAAGAUACUAUUGAAACAAACACAACUAAUAGAGGAGAAAAUAAUGGAACUGCAUCAAACUCAGCUUAAGGGCCAGAGCCCAGAAACCACAGAAACAAAUUUCCUCAGAAAAGCAUGUACACUGGACACCUAUGGAAUCGAUCCUCAUCCAGUCAAAGACCAUCGAGGGAACCAUUUAUAUUUGGGUAUCAAUCAUCACGGAAUUUUAACAUUCCAAGGCAGUAGAAAAACACAUCAUUUCAAGUGGUCGGAAGUUCAUAAACUAAAUUACGAAGGAAAAAUGUUCAUCAUCCAUCUUAUCUAUCAAGAGGACCCCAGAACAAAGAAAAAGCAUACGGUUGGUUUCAAAUGUCCGACUGGAGCGGCAUGUAGACACGUAUGGAGAUGCGCUAUUGAGCAGAUGCUAUUUUUCACAAUCCCUUCAAGCUCGGAAGUUCCAAGUGUUGUAUCGGGUGGCAGCUUCUUUUCGUUCGGGACGAAGUUCAGAUACUCGGGGCGAGUUGAGCGGGAAAUUCUGGAGGACAUCGGCCCGCUGAGGAGAGAAGAGCCCACCAUAAAUCGAGUGUCCAGUCUGAGAAGGAAGGCCUCCAGUGUUCCGGCUACGCCUUCAACGCCAAUUGCUUCUGAUCUUGGCUACAGCAGUUUGCCACGCUCGAAUCAUUCGGCGGAUUGUAGGCUGGAUUCAGGAGGCAUCGACUUCACUGAUCCUGCCAUUCCCCUUGAACCGGUUUCUGAGGAUCAAGAAAUGAGAACCAGAACAGAUGAGAAAGAUUCGGCCGAGCCUGAAGCUCCUGUAUGCAACGGAAAGACAACUGAUUUAGGAGCGGGCCUCCAGGACAGCGGUCUGCUAGUGAGUGGUAGUGAGUGGGUGCUACGAGAAUCAUUCGACCACUCCUCAUCAGAGGGGCUGGGGGUGGUGGGACUGGGUGGAGGCGGAGGCGGUCGCUCCUCCAGUCGCAGCCAGACACCCGUGCUUCGCAGCGCUGCCCCUGUCGCUCUACGCCCACCCCCCACUCCUCCCGCCACGGCUGCCACGCAUGCGCACACGACACGCACCUUCAGCCUGCUGCGUGCGUUCGUGCCCUCCUUCAUUAUCACCACGCUCUCUCUCCUUGUCAUUGUGAUCGUAGUGCUGGAAACCGAUUACGAGACGCUAGGCGCCCUGCGUCGCGCGCCUGAAAUGAUCGCCUUGCGUCGUCUCUACUACGAGCCCGCCAAACAGUUUCUCAAGGCCAAACUGAUGUCGUCCGCAUCAACGCAGGUGGUCUCCACCAAUGUGCGACCCAUAGAGACCUAGUGGUCACUCUCCUCCGACAUGACAACUGAUAGUUUGUAAGUUAUCCUACAAUCAAUCAACAUCUACAAACGUCGAUAGUUUAUAAGUUUUCCUACAAUCUAAUUUAUCAAUCAACAUCCACAAACUUUGAUAGUUUAAGUUUUCCUACAAAUCUAAUUUAUCAAUCAGCAUCCACAAACUUUGAUAGUUUAAGUUAUCCUACAAUCUAAUUUAUCAUUCAACAUCUACAAACGUCGAUAGUUUAUAAGUUUUCCUUCAAUCUAAUUUAUCAAUUAACAUCCACAAACUUCGAUAGUUUAAGUUAUCCUACAAUCUAAUUUUACAAUCAACAUCUACAAACGUCUAUAGUUUAUAAGUUUUCCUACAAUCUAAUUUAUCAAUCAACAUCUACAAACGUCGAUCUCACUCAAGAUCGUUGGUCAUUCAUGAAAAAUCACAUUUACUAAAGUACCAAUCCGAAAUGAAAUUGAAAUCUUUAUUCCAAUAGAAAGUGAAGCUUUAAACUUUUAUACUUUCUCUUUCUAUUAGUAUAAAUAUUGGGCAUUACGGAUUAUGUUAUUAUUGGAAUAUGGUUAUAACGGGUGACCCAAAGUACUGAAAGUUUAUUUGAAAAUUCAUUGAACAAAAGUGGGAAAGCAAAAUUAAUUUUAUGAAUUAAUUGGGAAUCAAGCUCUGAUCAAGGUCUGAGUAAUGACACACUGGGUGUGACAAUCCGCUGGCUGUCGUCACGUAUCGUUUGUUAGUUUAUUUUUGAAACCUUCCCAUAGAUUCUUAUCAGAGUAUACGUAUAGGAAUUGUCAAGAAAAUCAAAUCGUCAAUUAUCAUUCGAACCUGUUAUUCUCUUUCCUCUCUCAGCUAAAAGAUGGCCUGAAACUAGAACUAGUGAAAUAACCGACCUUAUUUCAUAACUGGAGAUGAGUUGUAUCCUUGGCUAGAGAUUCCUAUACACAACUGAACUGACUGACACUUAACAUAGACUGGCAUUGUCUGUGCCAAACCAAUGAGUAGAGGCGUGUUUACGAAUAUCCACAUUCAAAUAAGGCAAUGUUUCAACUAGAUCUGCAAUCCAAUUUUCAGUCCAAGAAACGUAAUAUACGCAUAAAAAUAGUAUUAAUGUAAAUUACGUUUAUUCCUGCCAGUUCAGUCUUAACUGUAAACGUUUAAGCCCGGUUGCACAAAAGCCUGUUCAACUUGAAUCAUGAUUAAAUGUCAUGAUUGAUUGAUUGAUUUUAUUAUUUGAUGUGCCAGGUCUCUACAGACCUAUUGCACAAAAACAGCAUGAGACCCAAUCAGAGAAGCCUUCUUUUCGAAAAAUUCUUCUCUGAUUGGUUCUCUUGAAAUUUAAUCUUCAUUAAAAUUUAAAAGGCUUUUAUGCAACCGGGCCUUAGUCUACACAAAUAAGUGGUGAAUUAUUCAUUGAACAAUUUAUUAUCCUCUUCGAGAAUCAAUAAUUUUAUUUGCCAUCAGUAUUCACAAAAUACAUGGUCAAAUAAUAAUAUUCAUUACUUAUUCUUGAUAUAAUAUAAAAGAAACAAAACUAUUUUCUAUUGAUCAACUGAUUUACUCCUGUUAGGUACUGUAUACUGAUUGUAAUUGAAAGGUCUUUUGACUAAGGCUAGUUACACACUGAUCGAUUUUUGGACGUACGAUUUUUGCCGUCCUUAUAAAUUCUAUUAGAUCAAACAGAUGAUGUCAAACGGAGGAUGUUUGUCAAGUUCCGUUUAAUCUAAUAGAAUUCAUAAGGACGGAAAAAUAUCGUACAAACAAAAUUCUAUGUGUGUGUGCAGGGCUUAAGGAUUCGAAAUUGGAAGUUUUUCUGGAAGCAAAACGUUUUCAAAGUGAUUUCUCGUCAGCUUCAAUGUUGUAAGACGCCGAAGCUACUAUGUUAAAAUAAUUGCACAUACCAUUAACGACUGAUUAAUUUUCAAAUUUAUUUCAAAUUUUAUUCAAUCCAAUUCACAAUUUACAACUUAUGAGAAAAAAAAUCAUACAGCUUAACAAUAUUAGAGUAAUAAGUUAAUAAUUUAUAAAGUACAUAAAAGUCUAAUUUAUUAAACAAUAACUUCAGACAAGAAAUCUAACAUGCUAAACCAGGUCUAAUUUGUGAAUUUGGAUAGAAAAAUACUGCUUGCUGAGAGUACAAAAAUCUACGUCAGCGAGCAGGAAUGAAUAUCUGAUAAUUUAUGAAUUUAUAGAGAAGUAGAAAAAUAUAAAAAGUAGAAAGAAAGAAAAAUUAGCAACCAAUCACUCACACAUUCACACUAACCAUGCUCACUUUCCAAUUCCAGCUCAUUUUUCCAAAGCAUAGCCACCAUUAUCAGAGUAUUUUAACUAAGAAACCACAUUGAAUAAGGUCUCUAGAUAGUCAGGCAUAAGACCUCUAAGCCAUCCAAGAACUUUUGUUUUAAAAACAAGUCGAUUUUGUGUUCUCUUAAUUUCAAGAAGAAUAUUGUUUUGAAUGAUCGUUUCACUGAGUUUAAGUAAACAUCUUCACAAUAUGUAUAAUAUUCUAGUUGGAACAAAUUUGUUGGAGCGAAGAUGAAAUUAUUUAUGUAUUAACUAUUGUUUAGUUAUGUGUCUCAAUUACCCCAAGAAGUUUAAAAAUAACUGAAUUUUCCUUCAUGCAUUAUAGUAUCCAGCCUCAAGCCAUUAUUUUUAAAUCUAUCAUGAAAAUUAGUUCAUGUUUGAGUAAAAUGUUUAAUUAUUUAUCUGUCUGUUCUAGUUAGUUUCUUCGAAUUCGGAAAUGACAGAGUUUAUAGUAGAGAAAGUUAAAUUUUAUUUUGAAAUGAGAAUAGUAUUCAAAUAUGAGGAUCGUUACUAUAACAAUUAGGAACCAUAAUGGUUACCAGUGAUAAUCAUGAUUUUGCUUUAGAUAACCGUAUUGAUAUGAUAUUUUAUGCCAGCCAUAACUUUUUUAAAUAAAUAAUUUAGUAGGUGUUUAACUGUUAUCGGUCUCAUAACUAUGGUUCAAAGUUUUAACAAUAAAUUAUUUAUAAGAAUACGGAAUCUUCCAUUUUGGGAUGUUUCGCCACUACCGUACUUAAUAUUAUAAUUUUUAUUCAAUCUGAAAUCAGUACAAUAAAUCCUAUUAUCGAAGUUAACAGUCAAAUUGUUCUAUGUAGUACAUUUAAAACAAACCAUUAUAAAAAUAGUAUCUUCUUUAGUAGUGAAAGAAAUCAAGUACUGCAGUAUAAUAAUCAAAUUAGCUGAAUAUAUUAGCUUUUAUCCAUCUUUUUAACAAAUCUUAUCAUUAAUUCAAUAAGACAACUCUGUAGUAGCUCGAGUCACCUACAUCACAAUAUUUCUAUGAGAAUUUCGACUCAUACGUAAAAUGUUUCACGACUUGAGAACUAGUUCGGAUUACGCUCGUAGUCUUGAUUUUCCAAAUUACUCACUUUGGAAGUGAGCUAUGAAAAAGAACUUGUAUUAAUACUAUUACAAAGACAACUACAAUCAUUCCAGUUCAUUUUAAUAAUUGAAUCUGUGAUAUAGAUAAAAUUAUAUAGAUGACUGCUUUAAUACCUCAAAGUAUGCACAAUAACAUUUAUCAAUAUUAGUUUUUUAUUCAUCGUGUAAGAAGUAAUUUUACUUGUAGCUGAACGCUACCAGUAAAUAUGAAAUUUUUUGUAUUUUUAUACUAAAGUCGAAUGCGUGCGUGUGAAGCACUGAUUUUAAUCAUUACGCAGUAAUUAUUUCCAUAUUUCCACUUUUUUUGAAAAAAUCAUUAUAAUAUAUCCAUUGUUUGUAACGAGAUAUUAUAGUAUAAAAUUUGCCAAUGCUCCAUUGCCAUUGAUUAGAAUCUUCCAUGUUAUAAACAAGUAUUCCUACAAUCAUUUCAUAGUUUUAACAUUAUUUGAACUAGAAACUAGAAGAAUAUUUCACUGAAAUUAUACUCAACAUUUUGUUAUAAAAUAUACAUUGAGAUAAUAGAUAGCAUGCUAAUAAUAUAAUAUUAUAUUCAUAUUUCGUAGCUUAUCAAUUUGAAAUUGACUGGUGUUUCAAAACUUCUCAAAUGUCUAGUAAACCAUUUGGCCAUAAAAAACCGAUUGGAAAAUUAUUUAUAAUUAUUUAAUUACACUCUUGAAGUAUCUCAUCAUCAUAGCAAAAAAAUAUCGUUACGUUUAUUUUAAUUAAAUGCAAGUGUGAAUAUUCAUUCAUCUAUGUAAUGUGAUUUAUUAUAUUUUCAGAGCAGAAUUGAGUAUCUAAUACUUACAUGAAUUCCAUUAAGUAAGUUUUGAAACGAAUUUUUUUUUUAAAAUUAAUUAAUUAGGUAAUUGAAAUUUCUUAAUUUUCAAGAGGUUGACGAUAUUGUUUACAAUUUGUUUGAUAAAAGUCUUAGAUGUUAACCUUGUACAGUUUGUAAGUCGUUGAAAGUGUUACACUUACCUACAUCAUAGUGUAGAGAAGUUUUGAGAGUACACAAUUCUACAUUCGGUUUUCACUGAUAAUACAUUUGUGAUACGAAUUCCAAUAACUUUCCAAUGUUGUAAAUCUCAUUUCCUUCGAACUUAGAUUCAGCAACUGUUAAACCUCUAAAUUUAAAAUAAUUUCAACAUACAAUUCAAAUUUUGUGCAAAACAAGCAUUGGACGUUGAUGAAAUGUGCAAUUAACCUGUACUGUCAUGUUAUUGUAAUGAGUAUUUUAUUAGUUUUAGAUUAAUUUUCUUCAAUGUUCAAUCCAUUUCUAUUAAGCAAUCCAACUUUCCCUGUCAAUUUAGGUAAAAGUUACUCCUAUUUGCUACGCUACAAAUGAUGGAAACAUGCUUUAUAAAAAAAAUAAAACUAAACGAUACGUAGAAGCUAAGCUUGAAAGGCAGAUGUUUGAAUAGAGAUAAGGUAUAUAUUGAGAAUUUUAUUAAUAAAUUGAGACAUGAAGUAUUAGUUUUGGGCCCAAGACAAGUCAUAUAUUAUUCCUAAAUGUUGCUACCUACUGAAUGAACUCAUGCUAAUGUACCUUGUGAAGUUAGAUGAAUUCUAGACUAACUAAAAUAUAUAUAUAAACAUUAGUUAUAUUCUGACAAAUUAUUUUAAUAAUAGAUGAUUUAUUGCACUCAAUUUCUCAAUAGACGAACCACUACAAAACUAUAGAGAUUUAUUGAGACAGACUUUUCCCAGUCACUAAGCGGUUUUACUAUUAUUCAAUAUCUGCUUGAUAAGAAAAUACAAAUUUAAGAAUAUUUUAUUUUUUAUUGCGGAUGUUGAGCAAGAUGAGUUGUUUGCUUGUGCGUGAGUACUGUAAUGUGCGAGGGUGAUUUGAUGAGAUGAUCAAGCGUCCAUACCUACCGGCGGGAUUCGAACCCAUGACCAGGUAGCGCUAGCAGACUGAAGGGUUGAACACCUUAGUCGUCUCGGCUAUCCUGGCUAUUUUAUUAUAACAAUCAUGUUCUUAUGUUGUUUCCCUUAUGUUCACUUGAUAUUACCUGAAGCAUUCAUAUGAAUUACUGUAAUUUAUUUUUAACGUUAUUCCCGAUUUUAGAUGAAUACGGAAACUUUUUAAUAAUUUAUAAAGGUAUGUAUGCAACGUAAAAUUUCCUAGCAUUUCAAAACCAUUAUUUUCAAUUUCGCCAAUUCUAACAAAACAUUUUCAAGUAACAGACGAUCAUUUUCAAGACGAUCACUUUAUAAGGUAGUUUAAAACAGAUGUAUUCUAAGUCUCAGAUUUUAAUAAGUUUCCACAUUUCUCAUCGCGCUUUGAAUGAAAAGAAAAUCUCCAUUGUCAUCAAAUUACUCGCCAAUUUGGUAGAAAUUGAAUCACAUUAUAUAAUCAAUUUUGUAAUAAAUUUAAUAUUGUAUGUUUAAUGUCAAUUUAUCAAUUGUAGUACAAAAUUAUGAUUGAAUCAAAACUUGGUAAUUCAUGCCUUUGAUAGGAAUACAAAAGGUUUUUGAAAAAUUCAUUUUCUUGGACAAUAUAGAUUUAUUUUAUAAUGUGGGAUUUAUUGUACCGUAUUGUAUUAUCUAGUGGUUCAAGUUCCUUCGUUUCAUGAAUUCGUAUUUUAUUUUUGUUAAUAUUACAUCACUUCACUCCGAUAUCAAUCUCUUAUCACUUGUCAUGUUGGAUUACUACAUUCCAAAAUAAUAUUACUCUUUAAAUAUAAUUUAAUGAUUUUUUCUAUAGCAUUUAAUUUGGUAUAAAAACUGCAAAGAGUUGACAUUAUUUUAGAGUUUUAUUUUGAAUUUAUAUUGCAGCUAUUUUUAUUACUUGUUAUUUAUUGUAUGUAUAUAUAUUAUUGGAAAUGGUAAUAUUAUUUUAUUUAUUUUUAGUAAUUGUCGUGAUCAAAUCACUUUUUUCUGUGUAAAUAUUAUAUUUUAUUCAAUGAUUAAAUGCGACUUCAAUAUAUGUUCAAACCAAAAUUCUAUUAUAAAGUGGAGAAAUGUGAUGGAUAAAACAUGUAUCUGACCAACCAAAUCAUCUCAAGUCUUAUUUGGCAAAUCGUCAAUUAUUUAAGUGUAGAUAUUUUCUAUGUAUCAAGCAAGAGUGUUGGUUAAAUGUAAAACAUUGUAUAUUUGAAGGUAUCCUUCACAAUAAAACUUGAAAUAAAA